GUGCUAAGCCCAGGGCACGGAAGCAGAAGCCAGUGUAGACAUCAUCAAAGGGGAAGGGUGCCACGCGAGCUGCCGCCUGCAGCAGCCAGGGUGCCAGGCGUCCUGAGAUUACAUAGCCACCUCCACUCGCAUAGGCUGGAUAGUCCCCUUCAAAGAAGGUCUUCGGCACAUAGAAGGGUCCUCCGGGCUUGCGGAGCGGUUUGGCCUGGGUGAAGAUCUCACCCAGGUAGAGGCUGCGGGCCCAGGUGGGUGGCAGAGUCUGCAGGUGCUCCAGUAGGGCUGGGAUGUGCACAAAGGCAUCAUCCUGAACCUGCAGGACAAAAUUGACAUCGGGGCAGUGGUGGCUCAGCCAGGUCAGCAGCAGCAGGUCCUUGAGUGUCCGGUUGUAGGGAACAUCCAGGAAGUCCCAGAGCAGUAGGUCACCAUAGCGCCGGCUUUCCCACGUCACCAGUGAUCUUAAGUCAGGCCCCCCCAUUCCUAGGGGGGACCCCAGCAGGAAGAGCAACCGGGUCCCAGCAACUGGGCUGCCCCAGGUCUCCCUCACAGCCUGCCGUGCUGCAAAGUGUCCUGGUUCUGAUUUGACAGCCAGUAGCAAGUAGGGUACAUCCUUAUCAGAGCAGCUGGCCACAGGGCUGCCUUCUCCUGCAGGCAGCCAUAGUGGAAAGCUCCUACAGGCCGCCGACAGCAAGAAGCGCCGAAGCUCCUGGGGGUACAGGAUGAAGUCCAAGAUCUCCGAGGCAGCAACAGUCCCCCAAGUCUGACAGUCCGUACUGGGCAGGACUCCCAGCUGCCGCUGCUGCUGGUUCCAGUAAGCAGAGGACAGUGGGCCAGUCUGACCCAGGCGUGCUGAGAGGAGUCCCAGCUUCCCGGGGAAACUCCUUUUUACCUUCU
rnacentral:lncRNA from 1 species